rnacentral:rRNA from 1 species
GCUUAUGGCCAUACCAGCCUGGCUAUGCCCGAUCUUGUCUGAUCUCGGAAGCUAAGCAGGUUUGGCCUGGUUAGUGCCUGGAUGGGAGACCGCCUGGGAAUACCAGGUACUGUAAGCU